rnacentral:lncRNA from 1 species
GGCUGUGCAAGAGUGCAAUGCUGCCUGAAAUAUAUAGAGACUCUUUAAAAUAUAAUGUACUACAUGUCAAUGGCUAGUUGUGAGGAUGAAAAUGUUUUCUAUUUGUGGGCCCAAAAUCCAUCAGGGUAUUGCAACUCCACAUGAGAGAGUGACCGCUCUUUUUCCAGGAAUCCUGCCACAUUUCUAAGGAAAUGAAAUGGGGAAGGUUUGGCCCACUAUUUCUGGAAAUUGUUCCUGCAGUCAACCCAGAACCCAACCCAGCUGACACAGUCAGCUUCAGAAACUGUGGUAACUGUUGCGUUUGAAGGCUCUGUGGACUCUCCAGCUGAGACCUCCCAGGCACAUACAUUCAUAUCUCAGAGUUAAAAUUUAAUUUGUUUUGGCUAAACAGCCUCUAAAUCUUUUCUUCCUCCAGAUGGUAGGGUUUGUGUAAUUAAGCAUUUGGAAAUGUUGGCAUAAAUAACCACGCCCCUUUUGGAGUACUUUCAAAACAAAUACAGGGUAAAUGUGGAUAGGGUGAUCCAGAGUCAUUGUUCUUCUGGGAAAGGGUAGAUUUUUUUGUUUGUUUGUUUGUUUUGUUUGCUCCUUUAACAUGUAAAAACCCAGGCAGGUCUCCAUGGUAGUUUCAGUCAAGCUUAGCACUGGUGUUCAUGAAGGACGCUCACAUUAUCUUCUAUGCAGCAAUGGCAAUCUUUAGCAAAGCCUCUAGAGUUGGGUAAGAUUGGAACAAGAAUGCAGACGAAGAGGGUUGUCAUGAAGAGCAAGUCCCCAAGCAGUGUUAAGGGAGGAAAUGGAUUUCUUGAAGUGUGGUCCUAAAUAUUUGGCUGCUUUAGAGCUACCUCUCCCAUCCAAGCCAGAAAGGCAAGAAUGCAAACCUUCUUGAGUUUUGUUCUGGGUUCAUUUCUGCUGUGGUGGCUGGGUUAUGCUCUUCUGAAGAAUUUUUCUUUCUCAGUUCAGGUCGCUGAUGUUGGUUGUUUCGAUUGCUGAUAGGCUUUUUGUAAGGCUUAUCAGAUUUUUACGUGCCCUUUAACUAUUGUAUAUGGCAUUUUUAUAUUUGGGAAGCAUGAAAUGUAAUACCAAAAGGCUGAGCUUCAUUUGUUAUCCAUGGUUUGUCUAUGAAAUGGAAUUGAGAAC